UGGAGAUGUUGGUACCAUGUGAUG
rnacentral:piRNA from 1 species